rnacentral:lncRNA from 1 species
UUAUCAUUGUAUUUACUGAGCCCAAAGGGCCAAUUUAUGUAACUAUUUGUACAGGUAGAGAGAUAUGUGUGUCUUAGGUUCCAUCUCAAACUUGCAGGUUUUCAAGCCACUUUGUAAAUUUAUGUAGCAGCACAUCAAACUCUCCAAUACUGCCAACAAAAUCCAAAGACAGCAACUGAGAGAUGUGUCUUCUGUCUUCUUAAGAAACAACAACAAAUAAGCGUUGAGAACUUACCAAGUGGCAGGCACUGUAGGAGAUGCCAACUGUUCAUCAUGGACCUUCAUGUUGCAGCUUGGGCCCAUCUUCCCCAUCUCAUCUCCCAGGACUCAAACUAGCAAAUCUCCUUAGGCUACUGUGAGGAGGAUGGAUUAAAAUGGGGAAAAGGCUGAAGCAGGGGGAAUUAAUUAGGAACCUGUUACAGUAUAAUUAGGGACAAAUUAUGAUGGUCUGCAUCAUUGUAGUAGUAGUAGUAAAAAUUAAUUAAAAUGGACAGAUUCAAGAAAUAUUUAGGCAAUAGAUUGACAGCACUGGGUGGUUAAUUGACCUUAUUUUGAGAGUUUGUGUGAAAGAUGGGAAUAAGUGAACGAUAAAUCUCAGGAUUUUGUUUGUUUCUAAUGUCUACAAAUGGGGAGAAAGUUGUGGGACUCCUUGUUCAUCUUCAGGCAUCUUUAGGCAUAAGAUUCAGUUACCUGAAGCAUAGUCAAGAGGAGAUGCUUAGUUAGCACUUAGGUUAUAAUACAGAAGAGAAAUUUUGUUGGAUAUACAAGUUUGUGAGCAAUUAACAUGUAAUAAAAGUAACCAGAUCACCCCAGGGGAGCUUUUAUAUUGAUAGUGAGGGGAGCCCAGAAAAGACCCCAGUGCCUAUAAAAGUGCCUGGCAGAUACAUAGUUGUCAAUUGAUAAGUGCAUGAAAUAAUUAACUAAUGAAAGAAUGAACAGACAUAGAGAUACCUCUUUCUGAUGAACAGAUAGAUGUAUAAACCAGUAAGAUCAUUCUAUGUGCUAUAAAUGAAGUAAUAUUAAAUGUUUCAUUC